rnacentral:lncRNA from 1 species
GUGAUCGUCGAAUCUGUUGACCUGGCGCCACCGGAAAAAGAAAUUCCCGGGCCCUGGCUUCUUGGCCUGAUGGCACUGCUAGCCUUGAAGCCUCCAGCCUGCUGGAUGCCUCCAUCCCCGGCUAUGCUGUGGCUCUCCUCAUUCUAGGCCUCCUGCUCGUCACAUUCACCCUUGUCCUGGUGCUAAAGUGGAGGGCCUCCCAUGGGGUGUUCAGCCUGGGUGUGUAGAAGCACACAGUGUGGUACAGAGGACCCUCUCCAGACAGGUGCCUCCCACCAACCCUAGAAAUGAUGCUGGGAGCUGACAGAAACUGAACUUAGGAGCACAGGAGGCCAGGAGACCUGGGACAGAGAACAGGAGGUAUGACCCCUCAUGCUGCUGCUCCCUCUGCUGAAACCCAAACUGCAAACCUCUCCUCUCCCUGCCUUCACCUUGCCCCACGGCUUCCACAGACAGUGCCUCAACCCCGAGGAAUGAAUCCGAAGUUCCAACACCACUGACUUUCCCAGGAACUCAGAGCCAGAGAGGGCCAAGGACCAGCUCGAGGACACACAGCCAGGGCUUCUUCCCUCCGAAACCCCCAAGGACUGGACUUGCAGGGCUGGGACAGAGGUGGGGUGGGGGAAAGCAAUGCCUUGUCAACCCACGUGGGGAGCCCCAC